AGAGAUGUGUGAUGACGCAUAUCAAUAAGCGGAGGAAAAGAAACUAACUAAGGAUUCCCUCAGUAACGGCGAGUGAAGCGGGAAGAGCUCAAAUUUGAAAUCUUCAAGGUUCUACCUUGACGAAUUGUAGUUUAAAGAAGUGUUUUCUGUUGGAGUUUUGGUAAAAGUUCUUUGGAAUAGGACAUCAUAGAGGGUGAGAAUCCCGUAUUUGACCAUUAUUUCCAGCUGUGUGAUACACUUUCAAAGAGUCGGAUUGUUUGGGAAUGCAGUCCAAAAUGGGUGGUAAAUUUCAUCUAAAGCUAAAUACUGGCGAGAGACCGAUUAGCGAACAAGUACCGUGAGGGAAAGAUGAAAAGAACUUUGAAAAGAGAGUUAAACAGUACGUGAAAUUGUCAAAAGGGAAGCGUUUGACACCAGUGUUGUUUUCUCGAAAAUCAAUUAAAAAUGAUGGGAUUUUGUGUUGUAUUGACUUUAUCAGCUUUCUGCACUUUUUUCCUAUCUUUUUUAAUGCACUUUUCGUUUAACAAGUCAACAUCAAUUUCUUUUGCUGUAAAAGAGUCAUUGGAAGGUGGCUUUUCUUUCGGAAAAGUGUUUAUAGCCUUUGACUUCUGCAAUCGGAGAGAUUGAGGUCUGCAGCGUAGAUCCUUCGGGGUUAGAUACAUUUGUGCUAAGCUAUAGCCUUCCUAUAGACAACUUGUUGACUAUAAUCAAUCAUGUAACUUACUCGCUUAUGCUAUUUUACCUACGCUUAGGAUGUUGAGUAGCGACAUACGCAC
rnacentral:rRNA from 1 species